rnacentral:lncRNA from 1 species
GAAUGACGCUCUGGGAAAAGCAGCACAUGUACAAGCUUUGUUCCCAUAUCCCCUCUCUACAGAGCGUGGUGUUAAUACAAAACCCAGCAGCUGGGUGAAUGCGUCCUGCAAACCUUCUGUGCAAACAUCGGAGUGGGGAAUGGUGGCUUGGUGUGGAUGGAGCUGAGCUUCUGGACUGGGGGCUGGGCAGGGGGCUGUGCUGGGGCUGCAGGGCAGGGCACCCUGCUGAGGGCAUUUUGUGGGUGGGAUGAAGGGGAGCCCACACUCCUUUCUGCUCUUUGUGACGCACAUCCCUGGGAAGCUGUUAUAUGCCCAAACCCUGCAGCUGACAAAGAGCCCCCAGCCCAGCCCCGCGUCCAGCUCCAACAGAGGUCUUUGCUGAGCUCCUCUCCCCUAUUUCCCCUUAGCCUCCCCCAGCACUGUCGCCCAGCCUUAUCUUCUGUUGUCUUCUUGUGGAAGAAGAGAUAAAAGUAAUUCUUAUGGAUGCUUCUCCAGUGAAGGCUUGCCUCCUUCCCCCCUCGCCUCCCCCAGCAUCUCCCUGCUCCGUCCAGAUAAAGGGUGAGGACCAAGCACAUGUCAUUUUCUUUGUGCAAAAUCAAUAUUCAGCAAAGUUUAUCUGUCCGACAUAGCAGGAAGCGCUAAUUUCAUCCGCGUCAAUUACUUUGAUGAACGCUCAUACUGUUCAGGGUGCGAGAACAAGAUAAAAGAAUUACUGAAAUAAAAAGCAUACACCCGCCUGCAUGGCCCCCUCCCCUCUGGCCCCCACCCCAAAGCCCUGCGGGGCUGUGGGGCUGGGCUGCCCACGCGCAGACAGCUGGGUGGUGAUGGGGCGGAUGAGACUGCUUUGGGUUCGAAAGGUGGGGAUUUGGGAUGGAGACACGGCAGGACCACACCCUGCAAUCAAGCACAGGGCAGAUGGGGAAGAAAGCCUUUGCUGUGGUCAGUCUCUGAAGACAAAGCGGAUGCUGCUGGCACGCCUGAAUGACAGCACAGGUUUGCUGACAGCUUUGUGUGGAAGCAUCGUUUGGGUUUGCACCUACAAGUGCUUGGCUAUGGCAGCAAGGCAUCCCAUGGAAAGGCCAAAAAGCAGCAGAGAGAUGCAGGGAAGGAGGAGGCAGCACGCACUGCGAGUCUGUGCUCUGCCAGUGGUGCUGCUGAGAGCGCGGACAUCCAUAUCAGAGCCAGCAGCUGGGAACAGCUCACAGAAGGGGAAAAAAUGGAGCCAAGGAUGGUGCUGUCUCUUUAAAAAUAAAUAAAUAGAUAAAGACUAAAAAAAAAAAAAAAAAAAAAGAAGAAAAAAUGCAAUAAGUAUAUGCAAAUGUGUUGAGCCGAACAUCGCUGUCUGUGAAACAGAUGAGGGAGAAA